rnacentral:rRNA from 1 species
UUUAUGGAGAGUUUGAUCCUGGCUCAGGAUGAACGCUGGCGGCGUGCCUAAUACAUGCAAGUCGAGCGAACGGACGAGAAGCUUGCUUCUCUGAUGUUAGCGGCGGACGGGUGAGUAACACGUGGAUAACCUACCUAUAAGACUGGGAUAACUUCGGGAAACCGGAGCUAAUACCGGAUAAUAUUUUGAACCGCAUGGUUCAAAAGUGAAAGACGGUCUUGCUGUCACUUAUAGAUGGAUCCGCGCUGCAUUAGCUAGUUGGUAAGGUAACGGCUUACCAAGGCAACGAUGCAUAGCCGACCUGAGAGGGUGAUCGGCCACACUGGAACUGAGACACGGUCCAGACUCCUACGGGAGGCAGCAGUAGGGAAUCUUCCGCAAUGGGCGAAAGCCUGACGGAGCAACGCCGCGUGAGUGAUGAAGGUCUUCGGAUCGUAAAACUCUGUUAUUAGGGAAGAACAUAUGUGUAAGUAACUGUGCACAUCUUGACGGUACCUAAUCAGAAAGCCACGGCUAACUACGUGCCAGCAGCCGCGGUAAUACGUAGGUGGCAAGCGUUAUCCGGAAUUAUUGGGCGUAAAGCGCGCGUAGGCGGUUUUUUAAGUCUGAUGUGAAAGCCCACGGCUCAACCGUGGAGGGUCAUUGGAAACUGGAAAACUUGAGUGCAGAAGAGGAAAGUGGAAUUCCAUGUGUAGCGGUGAAAUGCGCAGAGAUAUGGAGGAACACCAGUGGCGAAGGCGACUUUCUGGUCUGUAACUGACGCUGAUGUGCGAAAGCGUGGGGAUCAAACAGGAUUAGAUACCCUGGUAGUCCACGCCGUAAACGAUGAGUGCUAAGUGUUAGGGGGAUUCCGCCCCUUAGUGCUGCAGCUAACGCAUUAAGCACUCCGCCUGGGGAGUACGACCGCAAGGUUGAAACUCAAAGGAAUUGACGGGGACCCGCACAAGCGGUGGAGCAUGUGGUUUAAUUCGAAGCAACGCGAAGAACCUUACCAAAUCUUGACAUCCUUUGACAACUCUAGAGAUAGAGCCUUCCCCUUCGGGGGACAAAGUGACAGGUGGUGCAUGGUUGUCGUCAGCUCGUGUCGUGAGAUGUUGGGUUAAGUCCCGCAACGAGCGCAAC